rnacentral:tRNA from 1 species
GGCUUGGUAAGAACGGGACUUGACCCGCCUG